rnacentral:misc_RNA from 1 species
UGGUAAAGUGGGAUUUGCUGGAGGAUUAGUUCCUGGAGAGAAGAAAAUAGAUGGAAGAUCAAGGGUCGAUCGUGAUUCCGACAAUCAACAACUUAUGCAGUUGGAAGAAAAAGAUGUAGUAUCAUCUGUUGCUACUGUGCUGUCUGAUCUUUGUGGUCCUGGAGAAUGGAUGCCCAUGGAGAAACUCCAUGCAGAGUUGGUGGAGCAAUUUAGCAAUGUCUGGCAUCAUACUCGGAUAAGAAGGUAUCUCACAUCUGAGGACUGGCCUGGUCCUGAAUCCAAAGGGAAGCCCUGGUAUGGCUUGCUUAUGUUAUUGAGAAAAUACCCAGAGCACUUCGUCAUCAACACAAGGUCCAAGGGACGUGUGACACUGGAGUUUGUCUCUCUCGUCUCUUUGCUAUCAUAGGAUCCUGCGAACAUAACUAGGUUCAUCCCCUCGCAUGGUCUUGUUGCAUGCACUUUAUCCAGAGUGAAUUAUGUUGUUGAUUGUUGAUCUCAAGUCUUGGAUUAGGUCUGUACUAACUACAUGAACGAAUGUAAAUGUGUUUCUGUUUCUUGUUUUUGUCUCUCUCUAUGAA